ensembl:lncRNA
CCCUGGCCAACCCCAUCAGCCCCCCAUGCUUCCUGAGCUCUGCUGAGCCCUGCAGCUCAUCUCCUCCUGGCUCCAGAAGUCAGACGAAACCCUGAAGGAGAGCAGAGGCGGAAAAAUGUUCCUGUACACGCACCCGGAGGCUUUUGCAGGAGGCGGCUGUUGGAGAACUGGGAAAACAAGCCAAGAAACAAGAGAGAGGAAAAAGACCACGCCUCGCUUGGCAGAUUCCUAAUGGCCCAGGAGACCUGAGGCUUUACAGUGGGAGGCCGGUGGGGGCUGGCUCGGGUGGGAGGGAAGGGCAGGCCGAAGGACAGCCACUUGCUGGCCAGUGACCUUGGGCGGGAUGCUGCCUGCUUCCCUCUGGUGAGAAUGGGGAGGAGGGGGCAGGGGCCAGGCUGGCCCGCUAAGGUCACAGGAAGGCCCCUUCCAGCCUGAAACGCGAUCUCGGGAUGUGGGGCCUGCCAACCUGCAGCGACCCUGGGCCAGCAGAGAUGAAAGGCUGCCUGUCCCCGGCUUCCGGACCCCCGGGGCCACAGUGCCUCCAGCUUGAAGGGCAGCAAAGCGGCUGCAGCUGGCUGAACCCGGUUACUGGGCUCCCCCCACCACCACUACCACCACCACCACCCUCCCCCACCACCUGAUGUCCUUCAACCCUCCCUUCCCUGUUUUGCAGAGGACACUUGGAGCCCAGAGAGGGCUGGUGACCUGCCCGAGGUCACACAGCAAGUUGGAGGCUGAGCCAGGACUCACCACAAAGUCUUUAGAUUCCAAGGCCAGGCCUCAUUCCCUUUCCUGGAAACUUGGCUGCCUGGGGGGGCUUACCCUGGGGAGUUGGAGAGACCCAGGGUUAGGGAGGACAGUUGGGAGCUGUGUCUGUUUGAAGUCACAGCUUAAUGUUGAUUAAAGUGCCUUAAAAAAAAAAAAAAGACGAAAGGAACAUUCCCAGCCCCUGCCAUGAGCCUGGACUUGCUCUGCUGGCAGGGGAAGGAAUGGUGGCCAGCUGCGGCCUCAGUUCCUGCUGCUCCCGCCCCAGCAGACAGAGGGACAAAGGCCUCUUCUCAGCCUGUCCCCUCCAGCCCCCUGGAUCAGAGCAACAACCAGGAGGCUCUGUCACUGACCAGCUAAGUCCCUGUUUCUCUCUAGGUCUUAGUGCCCUUUCAGGAAAUGGGGGCAGAGUAUCUGCCUGACCUACUUCUCAGCACC